GUGCUUGCUUUGGCAGCACAUAUACCAAAAUUGGAACGAUACAGAGAAGAUUAACAUGCGCAAGGAUGACACGCAAAUUCGUGAAGCGCUCCAUAUUUUC
rnacentral:snRNA from 1 species